ACUUGUACUGUGAAACUGCGAAUGGCUCAUUAAAUCAGUUAUCGUUUAUUUGAUAGUACCUUACUACAUGGAUACCUGUGGUAAUUCUAGAGCUAAUACAUGCUAAAAACCCCGACUUCAGGAAGGGGUGUAUUUAUUAGAUAAAAAACCAACGCCCUUCGGGGCUCCUUGGUGAAUCAUAAUAACUUAACGAAUCGCAUGGCCUUGCGCCGGCGAUGGUUCAUUCAAAUUUCUGCCCUAUCAACUUUCGAUGGUAGGAUAGUGGCCUACCAUGGUGGCAACGGGUAACGGGGAAUUAGGGUUCGAUUCCGGAGAGGGAGCCUGAGAAACGGCUACCACAUCCAAGGAAGGCAGCAGGCGCGCAAAUUACCCAAUCCCGAUACGGGGAGGUAGUGACAAUAAAUACUGAUACGGGGCUCUUUUGGGUCUCGUAAUUGGAAUGAGAACAAUUUAAAUCCCUUAACGAGGAACAAUUGGAGGGCAAGUCUGGUGCCAGCAGCCGCGGUAAUUCCAGCUCCAAUAGCGUAUAUUAAAGUUGUUGCAGUUAAAAAGCUCGUAGUUGAACCUUGGGCCUGGCUGGCCGGUCCGCCUCACCGCGAGUACUGGUCCGGCUGGGCCUUUCCUUCUGGGGAACCUCAUGGCCUUCACUGGCUGUGGGGGGAACCAGGACUUUUACUGUGAAAAAAUUAGAGUGUUCAAAGCAGGCCUUUGCUCGAAUACAUUAGCAUGGAAUAAUAGAAUAGGACGUGUGGUUCUAUUUUGUUGGUUUCUAGGACCGCCGUAAUGAUUAAUAGGGAUAGUCGGGGGCGUCAGUAUUCAGCUGUCAGAGGUGAAAUUCUUGGAUUUGCUGAAGACUAACUACUGCGAAAGCAUUCGCCAAGGAUGUUUUCAUUAAUCAGGGAACGAAAGUUAGGGGAUCGAAGACGAUCAGAUACCGUCGUAGUCUUAACCAUAAACUAUGCCGACUAGGGAUCGGACGGGAUUCUAUAAUGACCCGUUCGGCACCUUACGAGAAAUCAA
rnacentral:rRNA from 1 species